rnacentral:rRNA from 1 species
UACGGAGGGUGCAAGCGUUAUCCGGAUUCACUGGGUUUAAAGGGCGCGUAGGUGGCUUUGUAAGUCAGUGGUGAAAAAUUGCGGCUCAACCGCAAAACUGCCAUUGAUACUGCUUAGCUUGAAUCACGUCGAGGUGGAUGGAAUAAUACAUGUAGCGGUGAAAUGCUUAGAUAUGUAUUAGAACACCGAUUGCGAAGGCAGUUCACUAGGCGUGUAUUGACACUGAGGCUCGAAAGCGUGGGGAUCAAACAGG